ensembl:lncRNA
GGGAGGAUGGCAGAUAUGGAGUUUGAACCACAUGGUGGGGGAAAUAAGGAUGAAUGGGUUUCGCUCCAGAAGAAUGGAAAAAUAAGUAAAAUUGUUGCGGGAAAUAAUACAUAUAGAUACUAAUGACGACAUGGUCCUGAAAGCUCAGGAGACUGCUGAGGGGAGGACAGCUCAUAAUAAUGGCUGCAAUGAAGUGAAUGGAAUGGUAUCAAACACUUUUUCGAUACCUUUCCAUUAAUUCCGUUCCAGCCAUUACUAUUACCAAAUAAGGUGCGACCAACCUCGUGACCCUGAAAGUAUUUCUCCCACCACCAGUUUCCCGUGUGCAGAUACGAAAGACGACCUGAUCUUGAGACUGAUUCUCCCACCACAAGUAACGAGUUGGAAAAAAGACUGCCUGCCCAAGCUUUGAUGAGGCCUGAAAGUCAUAUUGUACCGUUGCAACCAAUAUGGCUGAAUAUCUUCGCCAGGCGACCAAAAGGACAAGAGGAACCGAACCCUUUGCUCUGACUCUCGUGUGACAAUCACCCCUACUCCAUGGCAUUCACUAUCAUGAGCAGGCUCUGGAGCAGAGGACAUUAUGUUUAGCUGUUUUACAAGAAUUCAUAUGGAAAAUGGAUACCUGGUAGGGGUUUGGGGGAGUAAAGGGUAAAGUGUUUACUUUUCUUCACCCCCUUUCCUCAGCUUUAAUUGCUGGGGCUCCUGUGAUUUUUGAAAUGAUGGAUUGUGCUAAAGUUUUUAUUUGUGUGUUCCUUAUUUGUUUAUCCUUUGCAUGACUUCACUUUGGAGCUGAAAUGAAUCAUUCAAAAUACACAUUUUGUAUUUUAUCUACAAUUUGUCAUGAUUGGCCAUAUGUCAUUUUAAGAAUUUCAUCGACUGUGUCGAAAUGUUGUAACAUUGAUUGUUAUGGUUAGACAUAUUUUGUACAUUUAGAGAAUUAACAGGUUCUGUAAUAGAGAAGUAGAAAAAUAACCCAGCAAUAAAGUAAGAAAUAACCCACGGCUGGGUCAAAAAUACAAAAAUAAAAAUAACCCAGCAAAAGAGUAAAAAGCAACCGACUGCUGGGUCAAAGUAAUCGCAUUUUGUGGUAAAUCAAGAAACCCAACGUGUUGGGUCAUUCACGUAACCCAACAGUGCUGGGUCAUUCACGUAACCCAACAGUGCUGGGUCAUUCACGUAACCCAACAGUGCUGGGUCAUUCACGUAACCCAACAGUGCUGGGUCAUUCACGUAACCCAACAGUGCUGGGUCAUUCACGUAACCCAACAGUGCUGGGUCAUUCACGUAACCCAACGUGUUGGGUCAUUCACGUAACCCCAACAGUGCUGGGUUAAAAUAGUUUUUGUGUGUAGGGAAAAGGGAUGACUAUGACAUUGAACCUCUGUAGAUAAGAUAUACUGUAGGUGUAUGUUAUUCCCAACCUUAAAAGUUUGGGGGAUAUUAAUGUUUACAUAAGGAAGAUGACCUUGGAUUAAAACCUCUACAGGAUUGGUGGUUCCCCCACGGGACGGUCGAGCUAACGUAGGCUCAUGCGAUUAGCAUGAGGUUGUAAGUAACAAGAACAUUUCCCAGGACAUAGAAAUAUCUUACAUUGGCAGAAAACUUCAAUUCUUGUUAAUCUAACUGCACUGUCCAAUUUACAGUAGCUAUUACAGUGAAAGAAUACCAUGCAAUUGUUUGAGGAGAGUGGACAGUUAUGAACUUAAAGUUAUUAUUAAACCAAUUAGCCACAUUUGGGCAGUCUUGAU